ensembl:rRNA 5S_rRNA 5S ribosomal RNA
GCUUACGGCCAUACCACCUUAGGCACGCCCGAUCUCGUCUGAUCUCGGAAGCUAAGCAGGGUCGGGGCCUGGUUAGUACUUGGAUGGGUGACCGCCUGGGAAUACCAGGUGCUGUAAGCA